rnacentral:rRNA from 1 species
AGUGAACGCUGGCGGUAGGCCUAACACAUGCAAGUCGAACGGCAGCACAGUAAGAGCUUGCUCUUACGGGUGGCGAGUGGCGGACGGGUGAGGAAUACAUCGGAAUCUACUUUUUCGUGGGGGAUAACGUAGGGAAACUUACGCUAAUACCGCAUAUGACCUACGGGUGAAAGCAGGGGAUCUUCGGACCUUGCGCGAUUGAAUGAGCCGAUGUCGGAUUAGCUAGGUGGCGGGGUAAAGGCCCACCAAGGCGACGAUUCGUAGCUGGUCUGAGAGGAUGAACCGGCACACUGGAACUGAGAAAAGGUCCCGACUCCUACGGGAGGCAGGAGGGGGGAAUAUUGGACAAAUGGGGGAAGGCUGGUCCAGCCAUCGCGGGUGGGUGGAGAAGGCCUUCGGGUUGGAAAGCCCUUGUGUUGGGAAAGAAAAGAAGCAGGUAAAUACCAUGCUGUUCUGACGGUACCCAAAGAAUAAGCACCGGCUAACUUCGUG